rnacentral:rRNA from 1 species
UAGGGAAUCUUCGUCAAUGGACGAAAGUCUGACCGAGCAACGCCGCGCGAGUGAAGAAUGUUUUCGGAUCGUAAAACUCUGUUGUUAGAGAAGAACAAGGACGUUAGUAACUGAACGUCCCCUGACGGUAUCUAACCAGAAAGCCACGGCUAACUACGUGCCAGCAGCCGCGGUAAUACGUAGGUGGCAAGCGUUGUCCGGAUUUAUUGGGCGUAAAGCGAGCGCAGGCGGUUUCUUAAGUCUGAUGUGAAAGCCCCCGGCUCAACCGGGGAGGGUCAUUGGAAACUGGGAGACUUGAGUGCAGAAGAGGAGAGUUGAAUUCCAUGUGUAGCAGUGAAAUGCGUAGAUAUAUGGAGGAACACCAGUAGCGAAGGCGGCUCUCUGGUCUGUAACUGACGCUGAGGCUCGAAAGCGUGGCGAGCAAACAGA